rnacentral:rRNA from 1 species
AUUGAACGCUGGCGGCAUGCCUUACACAUGCAAGUCGAACGGUAACGGGCCUUCGGGUGCCGACGAGUGGCGAACGGGUGAGUAAUGCAUCGGAACGUACCUUUCAGUGGGGGAUAACGUAGCGAAAGUUACGCUAAUACCGCAUAUUCUGUGAGCAGGAAAGCAGGGGAUCGCAAGACCUUGCGCUGAUUGAGCGGCCGAUGUCAGAUUAGCUAGUUGGUGAGGUAAAGGCUCACCAAGGCGACGAUCUGUAGCGGGUCUGAGAGGAUGAUCCGCCACACUGGAACUGAGACACGGAACAGACUCCUACGGGAGGCAGCAGUGGGGAAUUUUGGACAAUGGGGGCAACCCUGAUCCAGCCAUGCCGCGUGAGUGAAGAAGGCCUUCGGGUUGUAAAGCUCUUUCGGCCGGGAAGAAAUCGCACGGGCUAAUACCCUGUGUGGAUGACGGUACCGGAAUAAGAAGCACCGGCUAACUACGUGCCAGCCGCCGCGGUAACAC